GAUGAACGCUGGCGGCGUGCCUAAUACAUGCAAGUCGAGCGAACGGACGAGAAGCUUGCUUCUCUGAUGUUAUCGGCGGACGGGUGAGUAACACGUGGAUAACCUACCUAUAAGACUGGGAUAACUUCGGGAAACCGGAGCUAAUACCGGAUAAUAUUUUGAACCGCAUGGUUCAAAAGUGAAAGACGGUCUUGCUGUCACUUAUAGAUGGAUCCGCGCUGCAUUAGCUAGUUGGUAAGGUAACGGCUUACCAAGGCAACGAUGCAUAGCCGACCUGAGAGGGUGAUCGGCCACACUGGAACUGAGACACGGUCUAGACUCCUACGGGAGGCAGCAGUAGGGAAUCUUCCGCAAUGGGCGAAAGCCUGACGGAGCAACGCCGCGUGAGUGAUGAAGGUCUUCGGAUCGUAAAACUCUGUUAUUAGGGAAGAACAUAUGUGUAAGUAACUGUGCACAUCUUGACGGUACCUAAUCAGAAAGCCACGGCUAACUACGUG
rnacentral:rRNA from 1 species